AAGUCGUAACAAGGUUUCCGUAGGUGAACCUGCGGAAGGAUCAUUAUUGAAUUCCUUCUGAGACGGGUUGUUGCUGGCCUUUACCGGCAUGUGCACGCCCCGAUCGAAACUUUUCAUACACCUGUGCACACUCUGUAGGGAGAGGGGGUAAAACCCUUCUCUCUAUGUCUUAUAACAUACCCUUCAAAAGUCUUAGAAUGUCAAUAUUAGCUUGUCUUAAAACGCGAGCGAAUUAAAUACAACUUUCAACAACGGAUCUCUUGGCUCUCGCAUCGAUGAAGAACGCAGCAAAAUGCGAUAAGUAAUGUGAAUUGCAGAAUUCAGUGAAUCAUCGAAUCUUUGAACGCACCUUGCGCUCCUUGGUAUUCCGAGGAGCAUGCCUGUUUGAGUAUCAUUAAAUUAUCAACCCUCCAGCUUUGUUGCCGGGGUGGCUUGGAUGUGAAGGUUGCCGGCGCAAGUCAGCUCCUUCUAAAUGCAUUAGCAGAAACUCGUUCCCUGCGAUCGGUGUGAUAAUUAUCUACGCCGUUCCAAGGGGGAGAAAAAGAGGAUCAGCUUCUAACCGUCCUUCGGGACUUACCUUUUCAAUCUUGAUCUCAAAUCAGGUAGGAUUACCCGCUGAACUUAAGCAUAUCAAUAAGCGGAGGAAAAGAAACUAACAAGGAUUCCCCUAGUAACUGCGAGUGAAGCGGGAAAAGCUCAAAUUUAAAAUCUGGCGGUCUUCUGGCCGUCCGAGUUGUAAUCUGGAGAAGCGUCUUCCGCGCCGGACCGUGUACAAGUCUCUUGGAACAGAGCGUCAUAGAGGGUGAGAAUCCCGUCUUUGACACGGACUACCGGUGCUUCUGUGAUGCGCUCUCAAUGAGUCGAGUUGUUUGGGAAUGCAGCUCAAAAUGGGUGGUAAAUUCCAUCUAAAGCUAAAUAUUGGCGAGAGACCGAUAGCGAACAAGUACCGUGAGGGAAAGAUGAAAAGCACUUUGGAAAGAGAGUUAAACAGUACGUGAAAUUGUUGAAAGGGAAACGCUUGAAGUCAGUCGCGUCUGCCGAGGAUCAACCUUGCUCUUUUGCUUGGUGUAUUUCUUGGUUUGACGGGUCAGCAUCAAUUUUGACCAUCGGAUAAAGGCCAGAGGAAUGUGGCAUCUUCGGAUGUGUUAUAGCCUUUGGUCGCAUGCGGUGGUUGGGAUUGAGGAACUCAGCACGCCUUUAUGGCCGGGGUUCGCCCACGUACGUGCUUAGGAUGCUGGCAUAAUGGCUUUAAGCGACC
rnacentral:rRNA from 1 species